rnacentral:rRNA from 1 species
GACAGAGGGUGCAAACGUUGUUCGGAAUUACUGGGCGUAAAGCGUGAUGUAGGCGGCCACGUAAGUCGGAUGUGAAAGCCCCGGGCUCAACCCGGGAAGUGCACUCGAUACUGCGUGGCUUGAGUACUGGAGAGGUUGGUGGAAUUCUCGGUGUAGAGGUGAAAUUCGUAGAUAUCGAGAGGAACACCGGUGGCGAAGGCGGCCAACUGGACAGAUACUGACGCUGAGACACGAAAGCGUGGGGAGCAAACAGG